rnacentral:rRNA from 1 species
GAUGAACGCUGGCGGUAUGCUUAACACAUGCAAGUCGAACGGACUCUUAGGAGUUAGUGGCGGACGGGUGAGUAACGCGUGAGAAUUUGGCUUCAGGUCGGGGACAACAGUUGGAAACGACUGCUAAUACCGGAUGUGCCGGAAGGUGAAAGAUUUAUCGCCUGAAGAUAAGCUCGCGUCUGAUUAGCUAGUUGGUGGUGUAAGGGACUACCAAGGCGACGAUCAGUAGCUGGUCUGAGAGGAUGAUCAGCCACACUGGGACUGAGACACGGCCCAGACUCCUACGGGAGGCAGCAGUGGGGAAUUUUCCGCAAUGGGCGAAAGCCUGACGGAGCAAUACCGCGUGAGGGAGGAAGGCUCUUGGGUCGUAAACCUCUUUUCUCAAGGAAGAAGAAAGUGACGGUACUUGAGGAAUAAGCAUCGGCUAACUCCGUGCCAGCAGCCGCGGUAAUACGGAGGAUGCAAGCGUUAUCCGGAAUGAUUGGGCGUAAAGGGUCUGUAGGUGGUACUGAAAGUCUGCUGUUAAAGAGCAAGGCUCAACCUUGUAAGAGCAGUGGAAACUACAGAACUAGAGUGCGGUAGGGGCAAAAGGAAUUCCUGGUGUAGCGGUGAAAUGCGUAGAUAUCAGGAAGAACACCGGUGGCGAAAGCGUUUUGCUAGACCGCAACUGACACUGAGGGACGAAAGCUAGGGGAGCGAAUGGGAUUAGAUACCCCAGUAGUCCUAGCCGUAAACGAUGGAUACUAGGCGUGGCUUGUAUCGACCCGAGCCGUGCCGGAGCUAACGCGUUAAGUAUCCCGCCUGGGGAGUACGCACGCAAGUGUGAAACUCAAAGGAAUUGACGGGGGCCCGCACAAGCGGCGGAGUAUGUGGUUUAAUUCGAUGCAACGCGAAGAACCUUACCAAGACUUGACAUCCUGCGAAUCUCGGUGAA